CGGCGUUCCUGGACGCUAAGGCCUUUUUGGGGCUCGUGGUGCGGGCACCGCUGGGGUGCUCUGCUUUGGCCUGCGAAACUCCCCAGCUUUUUCUGGCCUGCGUGGGUAUCAGUGCCCACCUCCGUGUCACCAAGCAUCCUGGUUCUCAGUCUCUGACACCUGUAAGAUGGAGUAGCAGUACUUAGUUUUUAGAGUUGUUUUGAGGACUACAAAUAAUACACGAGAAGCACUCAACACUCCUGGCAUGGAGCAGGUGUACCUAUGGUUUCUACGAUUCUUUGUACGGCAGCUGUGCUCACGCUGAGAUCAACCCUGACAGCACUCCACUCUCCCUUGGCAGGAAACUAAGAAGGAAAGAAUGGCCAUGGAUUUUCUGCCUGCACAGGUGAUGGACUAACUGUACCAGAAACACGCACUCCAAACAAAUUGCGAUGAACAUCAAGAUGUGAAAUCCUGUGCAUUCCAAAGCCACCUGCAGCCCCUGUUCAGACCAGAACGAUCUCUGACCCCUUCCUCCAGCAGUGGUACUGGAGUGGUUGCCUCCUCCUUGGCUGGGCCAUUGGAAGAAAUUGCCUCCUCCAUCCUUCAGUCUUCCUUCUCCCCAGUGCCUGCUCAUUUCAAGGGGGCCAGAGGGCAGGGACUUGUCUUCUACAGGGAGGCACUCCUGACUGCAGGGGUCUGAGUUGGAGAGCAAGGAGCAAGCAUGCCGUGAGAGAUGCUGGAACUCGUGCAGGGGACUCCUUCACAGGAAAGGGAGAAGAGAGAUACUCACUGGCAGAGCACCAUUCAGACCCAGAUGAGGCAGUCUCUGUGGGACCCUGGCUUUCUGUCUGAUCCUUGUUAGCAAGGUGAUCGAACACACAGGCCUCAGGAGACACGGCAGAUGCAAUGAGUACACACACCUAAGGAUUCCAGAGAAGCCCACCCAGGACCACCUUUUGGACCCAGAGCUUUGCCAGGGACAAGCAGAGGCCCACUGUGACCCACUGGCUCCUCUCUUUGCAUCAGGUGGACUUGGAUAAGUCCCGUCCUGGCUCCUGGAGGCAUCCGGGCCUCUGUGUUCCAGGGAGAGACAGAGGACCACCCGCCCUUGGGAACAGCUAAUUGCCCAGGACAAGAAUGUUGCAGCUUCUAUCACCUAAUCCCCCCCUGAUUCUCAAAGCUCUCACUGCAUCUUGUUUAUUCCCUGGUAUAAAAAGUCUGGCCUGGAAAGAGAAGACAAGAUGGUCCAUUAGGGUGUGAACCCACCAUCUUCUCGGAUCGCCAUCCAU